CAAGAAGAUCCCGGUGGAAACCUGAUCUUCCAGUGCAGCUACAUUGGUGACCUUCUCCCCGGCAACAAUCUCCCGGAACAUGUGAGGAGCUGGCGCCCUCUUGGACUGCGCCUGGUUGGCGGUGUCGGAAGUAGUAGAAGCACUCACCUUCAUGCGGCAGAAUGCAUCGAUAAUCGGCAAUGGCAACAGCACAUGAGUAGGCUCAUGCUCGAGAUAACUAAUACAUCAUGCCAAAGAGCACAUGAGUACAGCUAUUGCACAUGGCAUGGAUGCAAUAAGAGCACAUGAGUGCUGCUACUCCUUGAAUGAUUCUUUUAAAAGUAUUCACCGUCAUGUCUACGCCUUACUGAGGACAAAUGGUCUUAUUAAGGUUAUCUUUGGUUUAGCACCUUCUGGAUGUACCACGGCUACCCCCUGGCCCUUCAUUCCUGAACUCCAUGCGAGUUGAGCAGGACGCCCAAGGGAAACAGAGACGAUUAUUCCUUCUUAGGGUGGUGAGAUAAGUCGCCCACAGGAUCUCCGGUGAGCGGCUACGGUGGGGCGCAACAUGUUACUGAAAAGUUUAUCUCGGUCACCACCUCACAUGUAAGGAUCAGAUCGCAUCAUCAAGAUGCUAAUAAUUCGUUUGCAGUAAAUUAGAAGGACCUUGAAGACUAGUUAUAAAUAAGCAAGUCCUCGGUGAGAUGUCAUCAGGUCUUCUCUUUUAUUAUGAUAUGAUUCCAGCUUGACAUGUCACAUGCAUGUAUUGCAUACUUGUCUGACUUAAUCCCCGGGGAUGAACACGACGACGUGGGUCAUUACAAAUGGAUGUGGAUUCCAGUUAAUGUGUGUUGGGAGCCGAGAUCUGAGAUUCCACUUAAUGCUAAUACUUCGAUGUGGAGUUCCAAUUUCAGCCUGAAUUGUAUACUCGUCUGGCUUAAUCUCAACACAAGGA